CCUCGCCGCCCGCCGCAGCGAGCUGACGUCACGCGCGGCGGCGGUCCAGCGGCCAUGGCGGCCGUGGAGGGAGGUAGGGCCUGUCGCCAUCCGCCGCCAUCCGCCUCCAUCCGCCGCCAUCCGCCGCCGGAGCCGCUCCUGAGGGCCGCAGGAGGGGUCGCAGCCUCCCCUCCGACGGCCAUGGAGGACGUCUGAAGCUGCGCGGAUCCAGCAGGGCUUUAAAUCCCGAUUUCUGCACCUCUUGUACCGCGAUGCGUUGGGCGGAGGGAGGAGCGGUGGCUCCAGCCCCGCCUUGGCCAUGUGAGGUUCUUCCCGUGCCGGUAUCGCAGCCGUGAAGCCGCCUGCCAAGCCGUGGGCAGUGAUCUGAGCCCCCACAUCAUGCUGUGCCCGGACCCCGCGGAGGAGAAAUGCCGCAGCCCGUGCCGAGCGCCCGGCCCGCGUUGGCACCCGGACGCGCCGAGGAGCUGCCUGGCGCCAUGGGGUGCUCGCGUCCUGAACCCCGCGUUCUGGGAGGGAGAGGGUUGGGGUGGGAUCCCCCCACCCUCAGAACGGAGGCUGCCGCUCUCCGGCGCGCCCAGCGCUGAGUAUGAGGAGGGGUGAGCGCUGUACCGAUGUUUUGGGGUAAAACCUCUCCUGUUUAGCGCUGUACAGCGCCCGUCAGUCAAUAAAUACAAGCUCCC